CCCGCCCCGCUUCCGCCGCCCGGCCGCGCUUGCAGCGUCAUCCCGGGGGCUGGUUUGAAUGAGACCCCGAGCGGGGCCGGGACCCGCCGCCGCCGCCGCCUCCCGCCCGCCCGCGCCCACCCGCGCCGAGCCCCGCCGCCUUGCGCCCGCCCGCCCCGCCGUGCGCCCGGGCCGCGCCGCUCCGCCAUGCCGCUCUUCUCAGGCUCCGAUGGGUUGGAAAAGCCCAAGUCUAACCUUUGACCAGGCACAACCAUGUCAACUAGACCAAGGCACCGAAUGCCGCAUCCAGCCCUCUCUUAAACACCUCCAGGCAUGGUGACUUCACCGCCUUCCUGGGCAGAAUAUUCCAGUGUCUAAUCACCCUUUCUGUGAAGAAAUUCUUCCUAAUGUCUAGCCUAAACUUAAAAUUGAAGCUUAAAUUGUACCUCAUCCUGCUGGCCCUUCUUGCUGUGAGGAAAGGUUUCCGUGGAAGACUUCAAGAACAAAGCCGCCGGUGACACUUUGGGACCAGUUACUGCCUUGAUAAUAUCUCACAGAUUUGGCCUCUUUGAGCUUUUCAGUAUUUGAGGUUGUAUGCAGCCUCAGUACACAGCUUGUCCACUGUUUUGGCUGUGGUUGGCAAACUGGGAUCCUUAUGUCAGUGUGAUGAUUUUUCCUGAACCCAUCCAAAUCUAGUGGAGUCUCCCUCACUGGAGAUAUGCAGGAGUGGUUUGGGCACAGUCCUGUGGCUUGUGCUCUGGGAUGGCCCUGCUCGAGCAGCGAGGUGGGAUGAGAUGAGCCUCUGUGGUCCCUUCCAACCUGACCCAUUCUGUGAAGUGUAUGUGCUGUGUUUUCUGAUCAGCAGGGAAAAUACGUCCUUCCUCUUUCUUACUUUGCAUUGUUUUCAAAUUAACGAGUUUCUCUUUUGUUUUGCACGAAGUCUUGGUUGCAAUCUCUGAAGAGAAGACAGUCAUGCUCUUCCAUUCUUCCUCUUGAGUGCUGCAUUGUCAAAACCAGCAACGUUACAGAUUAAUAAUUGCUAACUCUUCUGCAUAUUUAGCAGUGGAAGCAUGACUGUUCAAAAAUUCAAAACCUAAAAGUCUGUGCAGCUGACUUGUUCAGUGACUGAGUAGGUUGUCUUCCUGGAAAAUGGGAAAAGUCUUGUGCUUUGUAGGUCUUAAAUAUGCAAAAUAAUAAAUGUGUUUUUAAAAAAAAUUGGAACGUUGGGAAAAAUAGAAGAUGCUUUCUAUUAGAAAUACUGAAAAGUCAGUCAUUUGAGUUCCUUUGUAAACUAAUUUAGUCUAACUCAUUAGACUUGAUUUUGAUUAUUCUGUGAUAUUACACAUCACGCAUUGCAUACGUCUGAAAUCUGAACCUUUUGGGAAGGGUUUUCAAAAUUAUGACUUCUAAGAGUUUUGUGUUUUGAAAAUAUAUUUAUGUGAAACCAAAGCACCGGUAGAAGGAUGUGGCUUUCCUAAAGUCUGGUAUUUCAGCCAUUUACUGUGCAUUGAGGCUAUUGCUGCAUGCUGUGUUUUACAGAUUUUCAGUAAAAUCUCAGCUUGCUAAGGAAGCCUUAUGUACCUGUGUUAGUUCUUGGAAGUGUUCAAAGGUGUGUCACUGUUCUGUUCGCUGUAGAGGCACACAGCUUAUUCCAGGCAUUUUCUGUCUGCUCUUGGUCAUUACUAACCUCACCACAGUGACGUUAACAUUCCAUCGAGCCAUUCUGCCUCCUGUUUCUGCUAAUGAUCCCAUAUCCAUCAGAGGUUUACACUUUUUGUGACCAAAUUUCGCUUUGCUUCUUAAUUCCAGUCCUGCACCUUACUGGGGUCAAUAGCCUUGCUUUUAAAGAGCACUGUAUUGUUUUCCUCUGAAGGAGAACGGAAGUGCUACGGAUAACUGAGCUGGAAUUGCACCUCUGAACUUCCCUCAGAAAGUUCAGUUGUUUGCAGCAAUCAGUGCCAAGAGAAUGGGAGACUUAGUUCCAAACUGCUUUUCUGAAGACCUGAAGAAGGGUUUUUCGUGCUGUUAGAAACAUGAAAAACACUUUUCACUUGUUUUGUAGGAUAUUUUUAGACCUGCUGGAGGUGGUAUGUUCUGAUGGAUGAGGUGCCGUAUAGUAAAAGCGUUCCCUACCUUCAUUAUUGACAAUUUAAGAGUCGAAACCAGAAUGUUUUGAGACUGUAUGACGUCUUAGUAUUCUUGGUAAUUGCAUUCUUGAGUAUUAGGAAAUAAUCAAGUU
rnacentral:lncRNA from 1 species